GCUAUCGAUUCAGACUGUAUUGUAGAGAGUAAGAGGCAAAACAACGGAGGAAGAGACAACUCACACUGCUGAAAUAAACUUGUAGAGAGAAAUCUUAAGAGCUUCAAUGAGCACCUUUCUAGAGACAUUUCGGUUUUCAUUUCCCUUUUUUGUCAUUUUGUUGAUUGUGAGGGCGAAGGAUUAUUUUGAUGUUGGUGUACCCGCUUUUGGAUUUAAUCCGUGAAUCUCCGGUUGUUUUUUUCUGAGGUCAUUUCCGAGGAGGAGGAGGAGGUCCGGUUUUGCGAGUCAGGAUCCAUACCAGGGGCAGAGAGAGUAUCCAGCCUGCUUUCUCAUCGUACCUGGAAUGACAACAGCCUUACUCCUGGACGGAUCAGCAUAUGAGAUCUCAACAUACACACUACCCAGGUAGCAACAACAACGCACACACACCUGAACUGAGGAGAACUGAAAAGAACUGUUUGAACUGUUUCUGCAGACUGAUAAACAGGAGGAAAACAGGAAAAAGGACUAAAACAGCAGCAUUUUUGAGGCAAUUUGAGUUGAAAGUUUAUUUUCUACUUUUUUGUUGUGUUGUAAUAAAUGGAGUUAUUUUCAUAUAAUUAGGUCUGUACCAGUAUAUGCUGCCUCCAGGAAGUAGCCAUAUACUCACACUCUAAAGUCUGACAUUACCAAAAGCCCCCACUUUCUCCCGCAUACUCUGUUUUUACGUCACCAGACUGCCAGCAAUGAAAAAUAGAAGCAUUACAACCUUAAACUUUAUUAAAAACUUCCUUGAGUGCAAUGUGACAACGUUUAGCUGCUUUUAGCAGAGGUGGUGACUGACUGACACGUUUGUCCCUGGGGUAUUACUAUGACGGGUAUUACGACUUGACUGCUGAUACUGAUAGCAGCUCUCGUACAGACUCAACCGCCAGUCGACACAUCCCGUACAUGCUGAUCUGCUGCCGUAUGCUGGAGAACACUGCUCACGACUUGCCAGAUUCAUUCAUGUACCAGAGUCAGACAGUGCUUGUUAGCCUGUUAGCUUGUUAGCCUGUGAAUACUUCAUUGCUUACAGACUUUGGAGAUUCUCUCUGCUGCAGUUUGGUUGAUAGACUACUAAUCCUGUUAAUUUUUUUGUUUGCUUUGAUUUAAAUGUUUAUUUGGGUAUUUUUCUUUAUUUACUGUAAAAGUCAUACCCAUGUAGCAUCAACACAAUUAUCACUAAGUAAAUAAAAAUAAUGUCAGCUGUAUUUAGCAUAUAGCCUAAUAUUUCAGGAGGAUAAUGAAGCAUAAAUGAAUUUACUACCACUUGAUACACACACAUCUGGUUAGAGUAUCCUGCAUUAUAUAGUGGCCUUAGAAGUGCAACACCCAGUACUGGAAAACUCGAGGUGCCAUGCCAUUGGUUCAACUUCCCAUUACUCUGAAACCCCAAUAGUUCGAAAAAACUUCCCAUUGAUCCGAAAGCCUAUUAGUCUGACGGCCCGUUAUCCUGGAAACAAAAGCCUGCUGCUCUGAAAAUACACACUAACCCUAACCCUUGUGAAAAUAAACGAACAUAUUAAGGACAAAAGACGACAGAGAUAGCACCAUUGGAACGCUUAACCAUAAAUAAUGAGUGUCCAUCCGCCCCCCCCACUCCCACCACCCCAGUUCAGCACCAUGGAUAGAGUUUUAAGGAUUUUUGGUUUUAUUUGGUCAAUAUCAAUCAACACGUAUAAUCUAAGGAAUAGAAUGGGGAAGAAGAAAUACAAGAUAUUAAAUGUGAGUAAUAAAGUCAUUUUUAAAAUGUUUGUUUAUUUGUAUUUUAUGUUGAGAGGCUGUAGGCUAGCAAUUCUGACCAUCAAAUAGAACAGAACUUCUUUAGUCUUCUUAUUAAUUAUUAUUAUUAUUAUUAUUAUUAGAUAAUAUCUCAAAAUCAAAACUAGGGACAAGUAUGUGUGUUAAUUUCAGAAAACAGGGAGACUAGAGUGGUAAACUGUCCCUUAAACAUCCCUCAAGUCCUCCUGGUAAUCACCUCUGUCAACUUGUGAUUUCUGAUUGCAGGACAUCAUGGUUACUUCAGAAAAAAAAAUCAGUGAACAGGAUUGCUGAUCAAUUAGAAACAACUAACUGCUUUGUUAUUUAACUUGAACUGUCUGAAGUGUGGGGCCGGCUGGGUUUUCUCUUUGAGAACAGACUGAUUGCUUCUGUUGUCUGUGGUAAAAUGUUUUUUUUUUUUUUGUUUUGUUUUUUUCAAAUCAAAUAGCAACUUGAUUCAGGCCUGUUUUAUACUGUGCGGCAGCUUAAGUGCUCCUGGCAUAGAGAGCUGCACAUGAUUCUAACUUUGAUCUCAGAUAACUACAUCUGCCUCAGUCUUGACUUAUCAGACAGCUUUAAUCAGACGCCUUCACUGCAGUCACAGCAUGUGGAACAAAAGGUUGUUUAUGUCUGUAGCCAGCUUUAAAAUGUAACAUCGGUCUUUCUCUGCUUUCAAGGAGUUGUGUUGGUCUUUGUCGCAUCUGAUCCAACCCAGGUGUUCUCUCCCUUCUAAUGGGCGCGCCACGUGUUUGCGAAGUCAAUCAAUGUAUGCAUAACGUGAAGGGGAUGAAUUAUUUAAGAAGCUGGUACCUUUUAGGUGAUAUGAAUGUUCAGACAUCCUAUGUUAUCAAUAGGUGUUAUAUUCUCACUGUUCCCAGCAGGUAAGUGUUCGCAGAUAUGAUGAUACACUACCAGACGCUCCUCCACUGACCUCUGCAUGACUUUCCUGUGUGCGCGUGCGUCGGAAUUAAAAGUGUGCGCACAAAGAUAUGGCAUUGAUAUAGACCAUGUUAGUAGGGGUCUUAACCGCUUGUUCAAUUUAUGAAAGGUUUUUUUUUUUUUUUUCAUUCAAUCUGUCAAUAUCCCAACAAUUUUUAGCAGUUCUAUUGACUACAAGUAAUGGACAUAAAAGCUGCUUGAAGGUCAAAGCUAAAUCCUCUUGCAUUAAGGCAUCUCGCUUUUAUGAGAGCCCAGAAAAUAUGAAAGGCAUCAACAAGGACCUAGUGCGUGUUAGUGUGCGUGUGUGUGUGUGUUCCUACAGUCAUGCUAGCAUAUUUGUACUCUUAACUUCAAAAGAGAAUGAACUUGAUCUCUUGAAACUUUUCAUCUCUACAGUAUUAUAUUUGACAUGUCAGAAGAAAGCAGUAAUUGGGAGUUCAUGCAUACCUGUCAAGUUAACAUGACUGAAACCUCUGAGGUCAGUGAUUGAAAUCCAUGAGCCAACCCCGCCACCCCCACACACCCACACACACCCACACACCCACACACACACACACACCCACACACGAAAAAAGACAAGUGCAAGCAUAUUGUUCCACUUGUUGCAUUGGCGCAGCAAACGGGUUGGCCCCGUAGAGAUAAGAAGUUGUUCAGUGAUGAAGGUUUUUACCUGCUGAAUAUUGGACCGUUGUUGGCUAACGUUAGUAUAACUGCAACACAAACAUAGUGAGCCACACUGAGCGAACAAUGCUAACAAUGCAGUCUCUCCAGCUUUGCUCCACUCAUGCUCAGUGGGUUAGUUGCUCAACCACAAAAUCAUUGUGAUUGGCUGCUCCACCAGAAGGUGUAGAGCAUUGAUUUGUUGUUGCACGCUUUCAGUUCAAACAGAUGAUGAUCGGUGUGUUCACAGACAAUCCGUGAAAAGUGCUGCCUUAACCUUGUUGCACUCUGUGCUUCAGCCUGUCUGAACUUGGAAAAAACAAACAAACUGCUGUUCCUUUGCUUAAAAAUCACAAUUUUACAUCAGUGGAAGUGAAGAUUAAAAGUUAGCAUGAGGAAAGGCAUAUGAGGCAUGAGAUCUCACACACACGAGAGUCUCAGGCUCAUUGUGUGAUAGUUGGCAGCCCUGGUUCAUGUAGUCCUUGUCUCACAUACAUCCUUCUGGUUAGAAUUAACACAGUGUGUGGGAAGUGGUGCCCUAAAGGUUAGACAAGCAAGCUUGUGACAAGAAGGUUGUUGGUUCAGUCCCCCAGACCGGCAGGAUAUAUCUGGGUGGGGGGGAAGUGAAAAGCAUUGUGUUGCCCCUCCCUCAUUACCACCAGUGAGGAGCUGCUCAGUGGCCGGCAGAUCAGAUUGUGGUUGUACUGGACAACUUCCAGUUGUGAAUGUGUAACUGUGUGGAUGUGAUCAGGGUGAUCCUAAAAGAGAAAGCAUUGACCCCCCCCCCCCCCCCGAAUAAAUAAAAAGGUGAAAACUAGAAUUUGGCGCUGGGUAAAUGGUAUGGAUAAUGAUGGCAUUUAAACAUUACCUAGGGGGAAAAAACACUUGUGUGUUCGGAAAAACAGAUAAGACUAAUGAAGAGCGAAAUGAUCUGGCAGUAUUAUGUUUACACCAAAGACACUUUCACAACAGCUCCAUCAGUGAACAAUUGCUACCUCUCUCCUUAACCAACAAAAGUAACUUUCUUUUUUUCAAAAAAAUUCAAUAUUAUGGGUCAUUUACACAAACUUUAAUUAGUAAAAAGUCACUUUGGUAAAAUUGUAUUUAUCAACAGGGUCCCAUUGUGAUUCUUACAGAGACAAAGUCAACAUGGCCGCCAUUUCAGCCUUAAUAUCUGUUUCAUCCACAUUAAAUUGUUCAUUUGUAUGUAUGCAAAUAUAGCCGUCUUUAACCCUCAGGUUAUAAACAAUUUAGAUGGUGACAAUAACAGUAUCCAUUCAGAAGUGAGAGGAGCGGCUCCCAGUAAUGCUUAUUUAGGCAGAAACUGCCAUCCCAGAGAUGGAUUCUGCACACUUCAAGGUGAACGCAUCUGACUGAGGAAUUUCCAAUCAAAUAUUAGUGAAAUGGAACUAAUACAUUGAGAUAGAAUGAAUCAACCACUCAGAUCAUAUUUGACACUGACAUAUGGAUGGCGGUUUGGGAAAGUUGGGAAAAUAUCUACAUGAUGAGGUAAUAUUUAAGGAGAGGUUACACACAAUUUCGGAUAGUUAAUCAUCCAAUUUCCACAUCGGCAGGAGCCAAUCAGAAAAUUACAUCAGCAAUGAAUUACUUGUCAGGGCCAGUCCAGUUGCCCUAAACAUGGGAAUGUGCUAACAGAAUAUACAGUAUGUACCCCUAUGAGGAUUUGUUAGUUAAUAAAAGCUCUAUCUGAAAGAAGUCCUGGAUGUCGAUGCUUAGACAUCCAGUAAUGCUGCAGAUAAUCUCAACAUUACCGUUCUUUUUUUUGUUCAGCCGCUGCCCUUGGUAGCCACAAGCAAGUAAACCGUGGUAGACCUCAGCAUAUUCAAAAUGUUAAUGAUUGCCCCUAUUUGCAAUUCACACUUGCCUGAGACACAGUGUUUUAAAAGUUCUGCCUGUAAUGGUAGGCUAUUUCACCUCUCGCAUAUGUGUAAAUGUGUGGAAGAUGGUCUAGUAUACUGUGAUGGCAACCUCCCCAGCGCAAAGGUAAGACUGAAAGAGAAAUAUCUAAAAAUCUUUAAAGUAUGUGGAUGAUGAUGUGUUUGUUGCAACAAAUAUGCAGAAAGACAGAAAUAUGUGGUCAAUGCAGUUAGAGUACAAGGCUGUAACACAUCAAUUUAAGUUAAUUUGUGUGUUAUUCCACACCAUUUAUUACCUGUAGUUACUAUAUUGUGAGUUUCUUUUCUUUUAAAAUGUGAUUUUGGCUUAUUAGUUGGUAAAAAAAGUUGCAAAAGGUGCAAGAGAGCACUGUUCAAGACCACUAAGUGGAUAUUUUUACUGUCACGUCAGGACAUUUUACUGAUCAUUUCAACCCAAACCAUGAUCUUUCCCUUACCCUAACCAAGUGGUUUUUAGGCCUAAACCUAACCAACAGCAUUAAGUGACAUGCAAAAAGCUUAAAAUGCAUAGACAUGACAUUCGAAUUGUCCUUAAAAGUGAAAGCUAUUUAUACGCCAUCUCAUGAGAUCACAUUGGAGUUGGAGGCUGAGAGAAAGUCUGAGAAGUUGUCCUUGGAAACGGCUCGGAAAAAAGGGCAGGCACGUUCAAAAAAAUAGGACGCUGAUGGUCCGAACUAGAACCCUGCGCGGGACUGUUUCCUUAAUCCUGCUCCCACCCGCUCUCGGUGGAUUUCUAACCAUUACCACCCGCUCCCGCAAUGUGUGUGUCCUCUCUCGCCCGCACCUGCAAACAUUCUGACCAGUCACGCCCGCACAAUAGAGUUACAUUGAUUUUGUGUCUUCUCUUGUCCCACAGGGAAAAUUAUUUUACUGUGUAGUAUUAAUAAAGAGACGUAUAUUUUGCUACGGUAAUAACAUAGCAAAAUUAUGUUUAGUGCAUAAUUACAUUCAUACUAGUGCAAUGAUUACAGUUAUAUUGUGCAAUAAGUAGGCUACCCCUGUUCUAGGGCAAAAUUACAUUGUAUUUAUUUAGCCUACUUAUUAUUUUAGAACACGUGUUGUUGGCUGUGGUUGUUUGUUUUACUGGGGUUGUUUUAUUGUGUUUAGUUUGCGUGUGUCUCUUAACACACUGAUGAGGAGUAGAACUCCUAAUGAUGAUGUCAUACGACUCCUCCGUUACCUCCUAAAAGAGCACAAAAGUAGUAAUAACCUGCGGUAUCGCAUAACGUAAUAUGCACGCAUUGUUUGGUGUUUCUGUUCUUUGCUCGUUCAGGUGAAGUCGGCAGGUUGCAGCACUCAUGAGUGCGUGUGUGUAUGUGUGUGAGCAGGUAGCGGUAUCAGGGAUCACCAGGAGGAGUGCUGACUGAGCACUCAGCCCAGCUCUGUAAGAAUCGGCCUGCAGAGCCGGCUAAAUCCCAGGACCCGCAGUUUAUUUUUUGACCGCCGCGCCCACCCACUGCAAAGUUAAAACUGCCUGCUCUUGGGUACCGUGGUACCUGCGGGAUCCCAAUCCCAAUGCAGUCCUCUAGUCCGAACCACCGAUGGUUCGGACACAAGCACAUCACUUGAAGCCUGACAAGAUGAAUUCUCGUUUGAUCUCGCAGUCGCUUUACAAGGUAAGAAAGAAGGGAAACUGAAAAGAAGAAUUUGGAAAAAGUUUGUUCUAGAAUCCUUCUGACAGUGAUUGUGUGUGUGAGUGAAUCUUUUCAAAGCUAAAAUAAAUAAAAAAUUAUUUGCACACAUCAGUCCCUCAGGACAGAAUAUGUGGACAUGCUAUUCUGUCCAGUGAAAAGGAUGCUCCAUCCAACAUCUGCGUUACUGAGUUAGAACAAGGACGCAAGACACUCUCAUGUAAUUCACUCUGUGUAUGGUGAUGUCCACUGCGUGUGUUAAAUGGACUGUACUUGUAUAGCACCUUUCUAGUUUUCCGACCACUCAAAGCGCUUUUACACUACGAGUCACAUUCACCCAUUCAUACACUGAAUGGGUACUGCUAACAUGCAAGGUCCCGAUCUGCCCAUCAGUAUCUUGACCAAGGACACUUCGACAUGUGGACUGGAGAGAAUCGAACCGCCGAUCAUCCAAUUAGCGGACGACCUGCUCUACCUCCUGAGCCACAGCCGCCCCUAAUUUACAGCCCCUGUUACAGCAUCCUAUCCUUUUCUAUCGUGCUGUCAUACUUAUAUCAGUAUAUCAACGUCAUAUGGGGGCUUUUAAACCACUAAUGAUUUGAGACACAGUCAUAAUGCUGCUCAUCAUUCAUAAUGAUGUUAUGCUGUAAGUGUUGUAUGAAUCAUUAAAAAAAAAAAGGAGUCAGUCAGACGCAACAUAUGAAGACAGUCCGCACUUUCUUUACUCAUGUAUGUACGGAUCCUUUUUGUUUAUCACAGAGUAUGGCAUUUCAAACUGCAUUUGUAUGAAAUAGGCCACACAAUUAGGAUCGACCUUGAACUACAAAUAGCUGUGUGCACUGUACUGUGCACAGAUGCAUGCCAAUGGUCAAGGCCACACACGCCAAUUUCACACAGGACCUUGGACCAACCCUGCAACGGCUCUGUUUGCCUGUGUGUUUGUGUGUGUGUGUUUGUGUGUGUGUGUGUGUGUGUGUGUGUGUGUGUGUGUGUGUGUGUGUUCCGAUCCUACUGACAAAAACAUCAGCCAUAAUGAUCUGUUGGGAGGAUUUGUUCUGUCACCAAAUCCUUCACUGUAUCAUGAAAUGAUAACGAUGUGAAAGUAAUGGUGUUUAAAACCGUUCAAACCAGGUCAGGGAAACUAGUUUGCUAAAUAAUGACCAUUAAAAAAACUUUUUUUUUUUUAUUCUAAUACAUACAGUAUUAGUGUAUGUGACACUUUAGCAAACCAUUUAUUUUUCACUAAUUGUGUGUUUAUCCUCACUGAAGUGAAGUUGCUGGGUCAUCCUUAUGUCAGACUACACUGCGCCUUUUAGUCACUCACACACACACACACACAGCUAAGACCUUACCAAAGGCAACGGACAUGCUGUCAUGAUUCAUCUCCCGUGAUUUCUCUCUCUCUCUCUCUCUCUCUCUCUCUCUCUCUCUCGGUUUCCCUGUCACACAAAUUUGUUUCCAGCUAAAGAUUAAGAGAGAAGGGACCGAGCAGAGUGUUAAAAUUUAUUUCCUUGUGCUCUUGAUUAAACAAAUUAAGUCAUUACGGUGGAGUUGAGACUUCUCCGAGAACCGAGAUCAUAAACCUACUUUUUAGUUAUUUCCGUAUUUAAUUAACUUAACUCAAUAAAAAUGUGAUUGCUUUCCUGCAUGUGUCACAGCAACACCAGCAAAUGGCUCAUUGGGGCAUUUUGACUCAGCCAGGGCUGUUUUCUUUGGCCAACCAAUUUCUGCGCUCACUGUAUAAAAGUCUGGAAGGCACAAUUACAACUGGCAAUGGAAAGGAAAAUGUUGGCAUGAGAAGAAAAAUUAGGUGUAAUCUCACUCAUUUUUCUUAUCUGUGGGAGUCCAAGAAGCCUGAGAGGGUAGAGUAUUUCCCCAGAUAAAAGCCAAAACGAUAUCCCACUCACACAAACAGCAAUGCAGAACUACAUAACAGCCUUUACUAUCUCCACUUGGUAUCCUUAUUGGUUUGUUUUGAAUUCAUUGGGGCCAAACCGUUUUCCCCUUCAUCUCUAAGUCAGGUGGAUUUGGCCUUCAGUAAAAAUUCCACAUUUUUAUGGUGAUUAUUUUCAGUAUUAUGUCAUCAUUUUCAUUCCUCUUCUUGCAGCAGAAAAAGCACUCACAGAUAAGACAGUGCAGGUCCAGUGAUUGAAGACAUUUGCAAUGGCAUGACUCGAUUAAUUCCACACACUAGAUCUUAAUUAACUCAGCAUAACCAUACAGAUGAUUUGUGUGCCGAUGGGAUUUCGUCAAUGGGGAUGAUUGCUUGAAGUAGAUAUGCUCAUUCAAUAUUCAUUAUCUCCUUGUCCCAUUUUCUCACGGGGCAGAGCAGGUCCUUCCCGAGAUCAAGAUAUCUUCUUUAUGCCUUCAAAUGCAUAAAGAGUUAGAUUUGAAGCCUUCAUGUUAAAUUAAUUCUACAAAAAAAGUGUGAGCUAUUUUAAAAAUUAAUCAGUCAUGAAAUGUUUUCUCCCCUUCCCUUAACCUUCCCUGUGAAUCAAACAUGCAAUAAACAUAUUCAAACGUUUAUUUAAUGCAGUGAAAAUUGGUUGUGAAAGCUCUAAAUUCUUCCCCGAGUCUCACAUGUCUGAUUUCAGGGCCAAUGUGUUUGCACUGAAUAGUAUUAGAGAGCUAGGAAUGCAAUGUGGCGCCUUCCAUUUUCUGUAUGUCUGUAACAAAGAUGAGUGAAAAGGCUCAGAGGAUGGAUUUAUUAUCCUUAUCAGAAGCCCAAAGAGAAGACAAAUAUAAACCAUUCUUCUGCUCUUGGCCCCUCAGCACAAAGCCUUGGGGAGUGGCAUGAAGACAGCAAAAAUGUGUUUAAAAAGUGUGUUGAGGGGAAACGCCACAGUGUUGCUCAUAAUAAUAUGAUCAAGAGCACAGCACAAUAGGCUCUUCUCUAAACCUGUUAUUGUUUCCAUCAUAUCUGCACUGACAAACUGUGGUGCAACACUGUGGUCCUGAACAGUGCUACCUCCUCUCAUCUGCUCUGUGUGCACACCGAAAACAAAAAAAGAACUCUGUUUUAAUGGUGUCUUGCUUUCCUUAUUCUACAUAUUUGAGGUGUUGAAUACUUAUAAAAGCAGGCAUUCUGAACCAGAACAAAAAUGGAAACAGGUCAUUUGAACCCAUACAUGCACAUAACCUCCAUAAUAGAAAAAUAAAUCCCAUUUUGUCAAUUGUGUCACUGCAAAAGUUUUUAAAGCUGGUUUUAUAGGAUGCAGAAGAUGUAGUGUCCAAAAAUAUGCAAUGAUGGUAGAACUAGGGGAACUGCAUAAUGACUAAUUAAGAUUUUAUUUAAUCCUUGAUAAAAAUACACUUAAGGCUCCCUGACAACUUAGAAUGAUCUUCUAUCAUUAAAUAUGGUAAGCUGUUAAAACUCAUUGUACUCAAUAAAUGAAUGCAUCACAUACGUAAUUUUGUCUUUGAAACAUACAGUAGAUGUAUUUGAGAAAUAAUUGUAAGUAAACAAACUACAGGAAUAUGUUAACUUUUUAUCUGUAAACAACAAGCCUGCACAGAUCAGUAAUGGUGAGAAUUAUCCAUGAUUACUGGUACAGUUUGCUGAUCAACAAGACUAAGAACACACAGUCUGAGAACCUUGAAUGUCUGAAGUUUGUGCAAAUCCAUCUUGUAGAUGUUUAGAUAUUUCACUGGAUAUGUGAAAACUUUGACCUGCAGGUGGCACAAGAUUAAAAAGUCAGGGGAUCAAAAUAGGAUUCAUCAUUUGACUGGACACACCACUAGUGUAAUUAAAAUGCAUUUUACACACACACACACACACACACACACACACACAGUUUGUGUUUGGCAUUUUAACCCCUAAGCUACGUGGGAGCCUCCUAUGAGGCUGUACUUAUGCACAGUGAUGCUUUGAGUUAAAUGCUAAAAUCUGUGUGCUAACAUGCUCACAAUGCUGGUGUUUAUUUGCUGAGCGUAAUGCUAAUCAUGUUCAUCCUCUUAGUUUAGCUUUUACAAAUGAGAAAAUUAGCAUUUGCACUGAAGACUGAACACGAGGUACAGCUGAGGCUGAUAGGAAACCAAAGUAUUGGACAAAUGAAAAUUUUGACCUGAUGAUGGUGCCAGAUGAAAAGUUCCAGUACAAUUCAUCCAGGGGAAGACAUGAAUGUCUGUAUGUUCCAAAUUUAUUGGCAAUCCAUUCAAUAGUUGAGAUAUUUCAGUCAGAACCACAAAUAUCAACCUCCUGUUGGUGCCAAAGGAAAGGUCAACAGAUCACCAAAGUCAUUAGGAUUCAUCACCUCAUCAAGCCUUUGUACCAAGUAUAUGUUGAAAUAUCCCAAUGGGUAAGUGAAAACUUUGACCUGCUGGUGGUGCUAGAGGGAAAGUCAGGGAUCACCAGAGAGUGGCUACAGAAGCAUUUCCCAGAUUGUAUUUUGAUGUAAACAUGUAAAAAUUAGAAUUGUUUCAGGCAAUAAACAUUAGACCUGUUAUGAUAAAAUAUUACAGAUGAUCUGAUUCUUCAUUGUGAUUUUUACCAACAAUAUGUCUCGUGAAGUGUCAAGUCCAUCUGCUGAGUUGCAUCACUCUGAGUAACAACCAUAUGCAACACUUUUUUACAGGAAUGUCGGUAAAAUAUUGAGGCAGUUUGGAUAAACUGAUUGCAAAGGCUGUGCUCACCAAGGCCUCUUUGGAAUUUUUACUGUAGAUAGCACAGCAAACACAACUUGAUGGAUGAUCACACAGUCUGCUGUCAGUACUACUUGCUUUAACCACCACAGUGAUUGCGAUUUGCAGUGAUUUGAGGUUAUAACACUGACUUCAAAUCUUGUUAUAAUGUCGCCUGGAGACAUCAUAAUAAUAGACGAAAUCAAUAACAAUAUGAUUUUGAAAUGUCUGCAGUGUGUUUAAAAAUAUCUUGGCUAUAUCUUCAGUCUACAUAGAAACUCACCAGUUGAAUUUAAGAGUAAAACAUAGAGUUCUUCAGCUAAGGUGUGACUGUCAUCACAUCCAUAAUUAUAAGUCUAUAAAAGUCUCUAUGUGAAAGGAGGCUCACACUUGGAGGAUUUUAACUAAUACCAAAAGAAUCCAACAUGAUCUCACCAGAAAUUUCUGAUACUUAGAAUAAGUAGCUGAUGGAUGCUGACAUAUGGUCUGUGAACAAGAUGAACAAAAAUUUUCAAAAGAAUAUUUUGGGAAAGCCAGGUAUCCUAUGCAGUCACCUACACUCCAUUUCAUUUCCGAGGUGAACUUUGGGAGAGACACCAGAGAUGACAGUGUUCAGCAGCCUGUGCAAUUAACUGAAACCUUUUUAAAAAUGUCACUUUAUCCACUGCGACAACUGCCUCCAAAGAUCACAGUCUCUUGGAAAGACAUCCUUACUUGCAUUUUUCAUAAAGAGCCAAAUGAACUGAGGACUUUAGAUUACCAAAAAAAAUGUCUUUGCAAUGUGUUUUUUUUCUGCCUCACUUUUUGAUGUUGUUGCAUCGCAGCCUUUCUUUUGCUGAAUUUUCAUCUUCUACUCCCUCUCCUCACUUGUUCCAUGUAUAAUAAACACACUCCUUCGUAGGCUUUUUGAUAUGCCUGUUUAGAGUGAUUUCUCUGCGGUAUCCUCAAAAAAAUCAUAUCUUUUGUGGAAUGUCCAACCAUGAAUCGGAUGAUACAAUAUAAUGCAGUGUAUUUAGAGUUGGAUUCAGGGAGACGACUCUGGAUUUUUGAGGCUAUAUUAGCUUGCUAAGGCUAUCUCUCCUUGCUGUUUUUAAUUUGCAAAGAGCAAUGUAGAAAACAUUAAGGUAACAGGCUUCAUGUUCAUGUUCUUCAACAUCGUUAACUGUUGCAAACCAUCACUUUUGCCAGUAGAUGUGUAAUGUCUGCAUGUCCAGUUUUCUAUUGAUUUAACUAUAAUGCCACAAGUUAGUUGCCGAAGAACCUAAAUGAAACUUGGCUUUUGUCUGGUUGCUGUGAAGUGGCACCAAAGUGAAUAAGGCGAAUACUUUUGGUGGAACAAGAGAUAAACUUUGAAGUCAUUUUUCUCAGUUUUACAGCUUGAGCAAAAUGCCACCUAAAAAAGCGACAGUUGCAAUCAGUGAGGAGGAUAAAAAAAAAAUCGCUAAACUUCAUGUAACAAGCAAAUUUACUUGAGCUAAGAGGUGCGUCAGCUGAAAAUCCCAAUCAGAGAAAGAUAAAGAGGAUCGAAGACCUGGAGAGUUUAUGAUAUGGAACAAUAUUCACACGUAGACCAUUUGGUCAUCAGUGGAUUAGAAACUACAGUACGAAUCUAUGCCAGGGCUACGGCUGGAGACUAAGAAGUUGGGAAUUCCCCAGGAGAUGAGUUGCACUCAUUGGAAAAACAGGUCAUUCAAUUGUUUGACAGUGAAGACAUGGCUAUCCAAAGCAAAAUACUGUGAACUGUCACAUUCUUCCUCAGAAAAAUAUCAAAAGAAAGCCAGUCUAUAAAUAGAAAACACAAAACUGAACUAUUGAAGCAGAGAUAUGUUUUCAAAUGUCAUGUUGAAGGCAGCAUGUCAACAACCAUAGAUAAUCUAAUGAAAUGUACAACUAUUGAAAUUGCACUUCAAUUUAAAGAUAGCUGGGAUUUAUGAUAAGCUAAAUGAUAAUAAGGUGGUAUUUGUAUGUGAUGAUUCAAUAUUGAUUUGUUAAACCCAAAUGGUCAUAACAAGACAUUAGACUUAUCAUCAGGCUUUUGAGAUAGUAAACUGGGAACCACCAUAUCCUCUUCUUUUAAAUGGAAUGUCAGUGUAACCCGUAUUGUGCAGAAAGCCCAGCAACAAUCGUUCUUUCUGCGGCAAACAAUUAUGAUGUUCUCUAUCACAGGCUGGUAUGGAAACUGUUCAGCCAAUGGCAGGAAGGAGCUUAGUAAGGUAGGGAAAGUAGCAUCAAAAAUCAUUGGUUAAGAUUAGUCAAGCAUUUGUGGUAUUUAUAAUACCCGCAUGCUAAGGAUGGGUCCUUCAGAAAAAAGAUUACAUAGUAUUAAGAGCAGAACUACUCAAUUCCGCAACAGCACAUAUCCUGAGGCAGUGAAGGCCCUUAACUCUUCAUCAUCAGUUCAGUCCAUGAACUUAAUUCAACUGUGUCCCCUAGUGGGUUUCUUAAUGCACCAGACAAUUGUGUUCUAUUUUUGAUAUGUUUAUGCUGAUGUGUAUCUGCAUUGUAUUGUAUUUGUCUAUCCAGAGCACACACCAUGACAAAUUUCAAUCAAUGUUUCACUGACAUGGUAAUAAAUUACUGAAUCUUGGAUCUUGAUUAACACAAUGUUCAACAUUAGCCUGUAUUCCAUGAUUAUAAAAUCAAGUGGAAUUACAGCAGUUAUAGUGUUGUUGCAGUCAUACUAUUUACGAAUGUAAUUGAUAGAGAACUGGUGGGUGGAUUACCUAUAAAUGAUAUAAGUGACUGCCUACCAGUCUUUGCUAUUCUUCAGAAGGAUCAAAGCUGAUAUUAAUGCUUGCAAACUGGUACGACACGGAACACAGGAAGCCAUCAAUGCAUUUAAGGAAGACUUAAUGAAACAAGACUGGAAAGAGGGUUAUGUUGAUGAACCAGACAAAGCCUACUAUGCAUUCCUGGCUACAUUAACAGAACUCUAUGAAAAAAAUUGCCUGUUAAAAAAAUCCAGAGGGAAACAUAAAUAUGUGGGUAAACCAUGGAUUACUAAGGGGUUGCAGAAUGUAUGCAAGAAGAAAAACACACUACAGGGAAUUCCUAAAAUGUAGAACAAAAGAAAAUGAAAAAAAUAUAAGAGGUGUAAAAGUAAAUUGAUAAGCAUUAUGAGAUGUAACAAGAAGGAGUACUGUAGCAAAUUGUUGGGAAAAUAGAAGUGCUCAACAGCAUAAUCAAAAAAGGUAUUGGGAAAGCAGAUUUCCAUAGUUUUUUAAAAAUCAAAAUGAAAAGAGGUGACUCAAAGAGAACUAAUGAAUUUAAUGACCUCUUUGUAAAAGUUGAACCUACCUUAGCAAUGAGCCAAGUAACAAGGAAGGUAUUGAAGACAAGAGCUCUGAUAAAAACAUUCACUCCAUGUUUCUCAGUGGAGUUCAUAAAAACAACAAGUUAUUGAUAUUGUUAAUGUAUUCAGGAACAAAAAGUCUACUGACUACAAUUCCAUUGAUAUGUCACUAGUUAAGAAUAUUAUUGAAUGCAAUGCAAAAUCGAUGACGCAUAUAUAAUCAAUCCUUCCUCACAGGCAUAUUUCCAAUCAAAAUGAAAGUAGUGAAAGUCAUUCCUACCCACAAGAAUGGAGAUAGACAUUUAUUUUCCAACUACAGACCAGUAUCUCUGUUUCCCCAAUUCUCAAAAAUAUUAGAAAAAUGAUUUGUACAAAGACUUGAUAGCUUUUUUGAUAAACAUAACUUAUUAAAUGACCACCAGUAUGGAUUUCGAGGUAAGUGGUCAACCUCACUUGUGCUAAUGGAGCUAAUAGAGAAUGUUUUAUAUUUUUAUUCAGUGCUAGGUCCAAAGCUCUUUGUACUCUAUAUAAAUGAUAUAUGUAAGGCAUCAAAAUUGUUACAUUUUGUUAUAUUUGCUGAUGACAAAUAUAUACAGGGAAAAACUUGAAGCAACUUAACAGUUGAAGCAGAACUGGAAACCCUAAAGAAAAGAUUUGAUUCUAAUAAAUUGUCAUUAAAUCUAAGUUAAACAAAAUUCAUUGUGUUUGGAAAUCAUAAAAUCAAUUCUGAAGUAACUCUUAUGAUAAAUGAUGUAGGGAGAGCGUAUGAAAACAAAUAGACCAUAAACUCUGUUGAAAACCUCACAUAAAUCAUAUCAAAUCAUAACAGUCUAAAUCCAUUGUAAUACUGCAUAAAACUAAAGACAUCUUAAGUCUUAAAAUCAAUGGACCUAGUAGACUUUGAAAUUCUACAAAUAACGUUUAGAGCAAAUUUUUGUUGUUAUUGUGUAUAAUUGACCAUAAAAUAAAAAAAGAUAAUAAUAAAAACUAAAACAUACAACAAAUACAACAACAAAUUACGGUGAGAUACUACUAUUUUUUGUGCUCUGUUCUUGUACAGCACGCAAUUCAGAGGAAGGUGGAUGGUGGGUGUACAAGGCACACAUGCUAAGUCAGUCAUAGGUAGGUUUAGGCAACAAAAGCACUUUGAUUAAGGUUAGUGAAAGACCCUGGGAGUUGGGAGGCUUCUUUUGCAAAACAAUCUUGCCGAUCACUUCACACAGUAGUUAAAAUCUUUAAAACUUCAUGGGUAUCAUAUCAAUAGCUUAAGUUCAUAUGUAUAGUUACAGUUCUAAAUCGUGCUCUCUAGUAUGUAGAGCAAGUAAUUUGUGAAAUAAAGUGUGCAAAAAUAAGUUUCCUACACUUUUUACUUCAGUGUGUUCUACAUAUUUACUCAUCAUCAUAUCAUCUGCUGCUCAUUUCAGUUUCAGGCUGUAGCUACUGGUUGUGAACAUUAAUUACGCUGCCACUCAAAACUGGACUAUUUCUGGCUGUUCAGCCAACAAACAGUCAUUACAGAUCUCAGCUGAAUCUUGGGAGUUUCAUCAUUUCUAUCUUUAGUUUCAAAAUGCUAGCCCACAUUUUGAAAUGAUUCAGAUUUGAUAAGCAGAUUUGAUAUUGGAUUCAAAUUAGAUCAAAUACUUGCAACCACCACGAGAUUCAUUUAGCAUGCAGCUAUUUUCAAGACACUAUGGCUGAGGACAUGCUGUAUCUCUCUUUGCAGCACCAAAUUUAAAGUCAUGAGUGUUUUUUAUUAGUAGUUGGUGUUAUACCCUUUAGAUAUAAUUUCAUAAACAUAUUUCUCUGUCAGCCGAGAGACACAGACUCCUUGACAGUAUGUCUUUUGACAUCCGUGCAAGAAGCCAAUAGUCAUAAAUAAGUAAGGUCACCAAUGACCUAACUCAACCACUGGCAGCUGGGAUAUUUGCUUCCUUUGUCCAUAAAUAUCCCAAUACUCCUUCAUUCAACAAGAGUCUCUCAAGUCAACUCAUGAUGAUGAAUAUCCAGCCUAACCCUGAAACGACUGAACUGGCAAUGAUGACUAAUGUCACAGCAGGAAGGACUUGUGGUGCCACAAUCCCUCACUGUCAUAAAGUUUGCCUCAGCCAGACGACCCUCCCCUGAAUUUUACUACUGUGGUUGGCUUUGACGGUAGCCUCAUUGUCAUACAACAUUUAUAGAUUUGAAGAAAUAUUGUACACAUUACUUUUUUUUAUUUUUUAUGCUGUGGUGUGCUUGACAACUUGCUGUAAAUUAGCAAGCAAAGCCUAAAGCCAAAGUCUUUCUUUUUUUGCUGUCUCAUCCCUUAAUUUCUACCCUUGACAUAAGCAGGCCACAAUAUGCCACAUUUUGAAUCUAUAAACAAUUUCAGUCCUCCCCAAAAAACAGCUCAAGGACAGGAGCAUGCUCAACAUGAAUACAAAGUCUAGAAUAAGAAAAAGAGAUGUAAUGAGUUUAUCAAUAUUAUUCAUUACAGUGGACUGUUAAUUGGACACUGCUGCAUAUCAUUUGGAAAGAAUAAAUGUUUUUUUUUUAAUUUUUUUAGUAUUCAAAUUACAGUCCGAAUCACCUGUAAUUAAUUCUUCAUGUUUCAGAUGAGUAAGUACAGAGAACAGGCUAUCAGGAAUAGUUGUCAAAUUAGCACUCAUUGACAUUAAUUGGAUGCACUACACCCAGCAGUAAUUAUUUUUACUUUUUUACCCCCACUGUUUUGCAGAGGCAUCUUAAGAUAUAAGCUAAAUUCAUGUACAUAGAGAUGCCAUUGAUAUUAACGGUCCACUGGAACAUUGCAAUUUAAUUAGAAACAGUGGAGUCGCUUACUAGUACAGUGAGAUGAAAGAAAACAUUGUUUCCUAUCAGUAAUUACUAUGCACUGUAAAUUUUUCUCCCAUCAUUUCAAUCAGUGAUAGAUAAUAAUGCUAUUAGCCAUACAUUCUGGGGUUUACACAACCUAUAUUGGGACAAAAUAAAAGGCAAACACAUCAGGACUAAGAGGAGCCUAAAGACUGAGUAAAGGAUGCUGAACUUCCAACAGUAAUGUGGUUGGUGUAUCACCAAUUCCACCCUUGGCAAAUGCACUGGAGCUUGCUCAGAUAAGCAGCUGUCAUUUGAAAUGCCGCUAUCUACUGACAGUUUGUAGGGCUCAGCGAAAAUAGGGAGUGAUGCUGGCGUUCUUAGGGAGGACGGAUUUUCUGUCUCUUAUCAACAACUGGACAAACUGACAAGUUGCCCAUGUAAAAAAGCUAGGGGUCAGAGUCAAUCAAGCUCAGUCUUUUGCGACAGACUACUCAAGCAUAUUGUCAUUUGACUCGCCGUAAUAGGUGCUCAUAGAUCAACGUCCGUUCUACGGCAGGAAAACAAGUGCGGUUUUAAGAGCUUUAAUCUGGCAAACACGUUUCCAGAACAACAUGCUUCUAAUGCAGAUUUAUGUUUGGGUGAAGGCAGGAUUUGGGGAUUUUAAAGCAAGACUGUUGAAAUCUGUCAGCAUAAAAAAAAAAGCUUUAAUAUGAUAAGAUCACUCUAAACUCACUUCAGCAGCAGCACUCCCGGUCCUUGCCAGGCCUCCCGAAGCCAGCGAAGGAUGCUGAGGACGACAGCAGCAUAUCUAGGGUUUGGUAACGUGGACUGCAUGAGCAGUGGCAGCACAGAUGGAAUGGGACUGAGUGUGAUGCCCUCCACAUUUGACCUCUGUCUUCAGGGAUAUCACAGAGGUCAUACAGAUCACGCCAUUCUCUGUACUGUAAUGCUGUUUUUUAUGAUCACAUACACAGAAUAACAAUGAAGAUAUCUGAACAACCUCUGGCUAAUCUGGACGUAUACUUUGUGAACACCGUCUGCGGUUUUUAAUGUUGAAUGUGACCAGUCCCUGACGACUGAUAUCAGACAAGCAUAAAAUAUUACAUCAAAGAGAGUUUGGGCUGCUGUUAGACUGAUCGCUUUUUUUGCAGCUGAUGAGCAAUGCUAGUAGCAGAUAAAACAAAGAGCUGUAAAGAGCAUAACAUCAUAUUUUGAAAUUGAUUCUCACCAGGUAUUUGGGACAGCUUACAUACCUCCAGACACUACUUGUUUUUCUUUGAAAAUGUUGAAAAUUGCUCAUCAGUGGUUUGCAGUUUGCUGGCUUAAACUAGAUAUUAAAGUGAUUUUGUUUCUUUUGCCUUGACUGUUCUGUUCCAAAGUAAUCAAAAAUGUUUAAAAAAAAGACAAAGUUUUGAGUUUUGGCUAACAGUGACUAACAAUGAUGCAAUUUAUAAUCCUGCACUGACAACAACAGCCAAAAGUUGCACUGUCUUUGUCUAGCAGACAAAAACACUAGACUAUAUAGAUGGAAGUGCCUGAAUUCAAAUGUAUUCUGUAUCUGUUCAAAUGCAUGGCUUCAAAAUGGCUACGAGAGCAGCAAAUAGCGUGAGGGACAAUUAUUCACUGUCUAAAUCAUCAUGUGAGCACCACUAGGACAAAAAACCGAGGUGUUAUGUUUGAGUGUCAGAGUGUAUUAUCACAUGCAUGUGAUACUAGUGCAGGGGUUGCAGAUUUAACCUGUUCAUUUUACUUUUAGUGACAUUCCACUUCCAGAUUUAUUCUGUAGCAUCCAGAGGAUAUGUAGAGUAGCACUGUCUAGCGUCUACACAGCCUGCGUAGCAAAAGCAGCAGCAGCAGAUUCAGUCCUCCUCUGUGUCUACACAGGAUGCGUUCAGGCACAGUAUUGAGUGUAGGCCACCACACCAACACACAAUCACUGUAAUUACACGCUUAAAAUGGAGAAAAAUAGACUUGGAGCCGUAAAAUACACUUUGGGCUGCAGUUACGCGAGUCAAGUGUGAGCUGUUACGUGCCCUGUGUAGAUCGCUGUAUUGAUUGAAAUAAUAUAGUGAGUAUUUGUUCCAUCAGACGUGUGUGAGACAGAUGACUGAAAGAUAUGUUGAAACACUUUCUGUGUAGACAAGCUGUAGGAGUUUGUGCCUUUUAUGAAUCCAAUAUAAGGCUAAAAACACCCCAAAUGUUAUAUAAAUCCUACAUUACAGGGACAUUUUUUAAGGCAUCGGCGAGCCAGGCAGUCACCUUGGGUUGCACCACCUGGAGGGGCAAUAAAGAGCAGGAUUUAUUUAUUUUUUUACUACUUAUAAAAUCUGUCAAACUGACAUCAAAUGCGCACAUUUAAUUGUUAAAUACUACAAUUGAAUAAACCAAACUGACUCUAGCAGGACAGCGAUGCCUGUUGUUAUAUCAUUAACUGAAACUGCCAUCCAUUCAUCAUGCUGCAUACUAACAUAUACAGGGGUAAGAAUAGCCAGUUUAUGUUUUAUGUGAACAGCAUAGUAUUGUAAUAUGAUUCCAAGCGGGAUAACCGGGCUAUGACAUGUGGAGGCGUACCCUCUACUUGAUCCAUGUAGUAGUCAGACAAUAAAAUAAAAUGAUAAACGAUGAUUGUUAAUGGAAAGUAAGGAUGUCCAGAGCAGAUAUUGAGAGAGAGGAUCGAGAUUGAGGCUAAUAGAAGGCAUUUUAGGAUUAAUAUUGGCUAUAGAGGCAGAUAUUUGCUAAAGGAAUGACUCCCCACUGCGCUCUGUUACACAGUGCCAGUUACCUGUGGAACCAGUACAGGAAACAGCAGCCAGUAGUCAGUUUAGCAUCUGUUUCAGCAACAUUUUCAGAUGAACCACACGUUCAACAGCUGGUUGAAAACUUCAGCAUUUUGAUAAUGCUGAGGUUGAAGAGAAUCUGUCAAAUUUCUCAUCCAGACCUUCCUGCAAGUACUAAUGAUCUACACUGACAUGAAAAGAAUAUUAAAAUAAUUUAGGACACUGUACAACUUAUGAGCAGGUUAUAUUCUUUUUCAUGCAGCUGUCAAACAUAGCUACAUUGCAUUGUUAAUUGUAUAAUAUGGGAAAUAAAUAAUUCAAAUAAAUAUAGGAUGACAAAAUGUAAUCAGGACAUCCAAAAUCAGAUAAUAUUUACACCUCAGUAAAGAAAUGACAAUGUUUAGGAAUCAAAGAUACUCUGAAGUCUCACUUAGAAUCCUGAAUAGAAGGGAUAAGAUGCAGGAUAAGAUUCAUCACAAAGACACUGGUUUGCAUGUAAAGGUACUACAUGAUGUGUUGUUGAUGACAUGUUACAGACCAGAAGCUGAGUUAAGUCGAAUAAAAUUAAAUUAAACUAAAAUAUAAUUCAAGUAUUGUCAUUAUUAUAAAAUGUUAUAAUGAAUAAUGAAAAAAACAGUGGAUGUCUGGCCUCCGACACCAAAAUGUCGAGAGAUGGACCUGUCCACACCUACAUAUAUCAACAUAAGCUGGCAGAAAACAAUAGACACACUGGCAUAUACACAUUAUGCCCUCAUGCAUAACCUAAGUGAUUACUUUCCACCUACCACUUACUAAUAUGUAGCUUAAAAUAAAUUGAGAUUAAAGCAAAUUGUAUCUGCAAAUGCUGAUAUGUUUGACCCCAUAAGGAACACCAGAGUUAAGCAGAUAAAUAGAAAAAAUGUGAUCACAUUCAUCAUACUGAUAUUAUUCUAAUUGCAUGGCACUGGAGAAGGAAAUUAAACCCUACACCUAUUUCUAUGGCCCAUUUGUCAGGAAGUGAACGGCACAUAGAGGUUUAGCCAAAGCUGAUGAAUCGUCGCUGUUUAAGAGAUAGAGUGAAAUGCUCCGUCAUUUCAAUAAAGUCUCAGACAGGUAUAGUAGGUUACAGAUUCUGUAGAAUCAGCAUGGCAUUUGCAAAAAAAACAAAAAAUAAAUAAACAAAUGAAAAGACAGGCCGGUCGGUAGAUGGAGUCUGGGAUGUCUCUAGUGGAAUGACCUUGGCUAAUACAGCCAAGGCUAAACUAGUUGCCAAAGCUUCUGUCUGAUCCAAUCAGCAUCUCGUUCAAAAUCAAGGACUUGCGUUUUUCAGUGUCUCCUGGUUCAGGGUAUUACCAUUCCCCUUUGUGAGCUACAGUACAGCCUAAGAGAAUUUACACUCUUCUAGGGUGAAUCCCUUAUGAAACGCAUAUUUAUGUCCCUGAGAGUGAAAAUGAAAAGAUUCAAUAUAGAUCUGUUUAUUCCAUCCCAUAAGUACAACAGUGCCUUUGAUCUUCCAUAUGCACACAUUUGCAGACAGCACUGCAAAAUACAACAAAAGCCAGAUUGGAACAUAAUUUUCAUGAAGUGUAUGGCUCCUUGCAGACGAAUGCAGUGGUCUAACAAAAUGAAAUAAGCCGAACAGAAAAAAAUGAAAUCUUAAUGAUUACUGACUGAAUCCAAACCAGAUGCUGUUUGCUGUAGAUCAAGUCCUCUAAGAGAAGACAAGACAGAAACAUGAUGUUUCCUGCUUUGCCUCUACACGUCUGAUAUUUUACUUAUUUAAAAUUAUUUACUUAAAAUUAACUGAAUUAUGCUCAUAAUAAAGGUAAUAAAAAUCAAUAAUUUGUCAUGAUCUUGUCACAGUCUAACUCUGUGUUCCUUGGUUGUCAUUCUACCCCAGUCCACCAGAUGCCCUCGGACAUUUUCCCACUGACUGGCAGUGGGCCCUUGAAGUUGAGACUGAAGUUUGCUUUCACACGAGUUGUGAAAUGUGCUUGAGGAGUUUGAAACACCUUGUAAGACGUCAAAGAUGCAGCAAUUACCAGGCAGUUCAUUCCACAUCUUCUGUAUUUUCAUUCAGGGCAUUUAGCAGACAUUCUUAUCCAGAGACUGAUGUGAUAAGUUAAAAGAAUGAUGACACUAAUGGUCUGUGCAAGCUUAAAAAGACAGUACAUUUAAAACGCUGUGAUAAGGUUAAAAAGAUCAUACAGUCAUGAGAAACAAUUUUAUAAGAUGUGUUUAAAAUGGUUUAAAAAAGUAGGAAUUCAUUAUGUUAAAAGGUUAAAAUUUGAAAAGGUCUUUAAUUCAUUCAUUGUUUAUUUCAUUCUUUAUUGUCAGAGGUUCAACUAUAAUAGUAUUAUCAAUGAUCCGCAAAGUGGUCUUAAUCUGCUAGCUUGAGAUCGAUUGCCUUUGUCUCCACCCUCAUAUCCAGAGGAAAUCGCGGUGUUUUUCCCAUAGACUGUAUAAAAUAUGGACGUAGUUACCGUGACGUCACCCGUUGGUUUCUGGAAAGCGGU